CCUACGGGUGGCAGCAGUGGGGGAUAUUGCACAAUGGGGGGAACCCUGAUGCAGCGACGCCGCGUGGGUGAAGAAGCGCCUCGGCGCGUAAAGCCCUGUCAGCAGGGAAGAAAAUGACGGUACCUGAAGAAGAAGCGCCGGCUAACUACGUGCCAGCAGCCGCGGGAAUAGGUAGGGGGCAAGCGGUAAUCGGAUUUAUUGGGUGGAAAGGGGGCGCAGACGGCGAUGCAAGGCAGGCGUGAAAGGCGUGGGGCCAACCCCGGGACUGCUGUUGGAACUGCGUGGCUGGAGUGCAGGAGGGGCAGGCGGAAUUCCUGGUGUAGCGGUGAAAUGCGUAGAUAUCAGGAGGAACACCGGUGGCGAAGGCGGCCUGCUGGACUGCAACUGACGUUGAGGCCCGAAAGCGUGGGGAUCGAACAGGAUUAGAUACCCUGGUAGUC
rnacentral:rRNA from 1 species